CAACCGGCGGAAGGCACGCUUGAAUAAAUUGCUGGCGGCAAAGCCGGGAACGCCCGCGGCCUGACCACGCGACGCCUCCGUUCGUUUUGUAAUUCGGAGCGAAGUUUCGCACCAGCGAAACCAAAUCAAAGAAUCUCUCAUCCCAAAACUGCAUU
rnacentral:misc_RNA from 1 species